rnacentral:rRNA from 1 species
UACGUAGGGUGCAAGCGUUGUCCGGAAUUAUUGGGCGUAAAGAGCUUGUAGGCGGUUUGUCGCGUCUGCUGUGAAAUUUCGGGGCUCAACCCCGAACUUGCAGUGGGUACGGGCAGACUAGAGUGUGGUAGGGGAGACUGGAAUUCCUGGUGUAGCGGUGAAAUGCGCAGAUAUCAGGAGGAACACCGAUGGCGAAGGCAGGUCGCUGGAACGGUACUGACGCCUGAGGCGCGAAGCGUGGGGA